UAGAAACUUGUUAGCACGUCUGUAGAGCUCUUCCUUUCGUGUCGCCUUUUGCUUCUGAAGUGCUGCUGCAGUUGACAUUCUGGCAGCCCCUGCUUUGCGAGGCCCAAACCAGUGUGUGACUGAAACCGCUGGGCCACAAGUGAGAGCUGAGCGAAACGCCGCCGGGUUCCUUCCACAGAGACACAUCUCCGCUGUGCCUGUGGUGCUCAGCCCCAGAACCCCGCACAGCACAGAGGCGGCCGUGAGGGAACAGCAGCAUCGCGCCGUGAGGAUCACUGCUUCACAGCACAGAGGUGGCCUCAGAAGGCUGAGAAGUGUCAGAAGUGCAGCUCAUAGAGAGGAGUGCACAGCUGGAAACACUGCAAAAAAGGAACACGUCCUUCGGGUAUCAGGUUUAUCAGCAACAGGCUCCGCUCCAUGUGCUCGGGAAAGACUAAUGCUGCAAUGCCCGUGCUGCAGAGUGACUUUGCGGGGUGGAAGGACGGAGAGCACAGACAUGCAGUCCUGGGUGUCCCAUGGGAGUAGGCUGCAUUGCCCAGCCCCUGCCUGGGUGCCCUGAGCUAGGAGGAUCUCACCAUCACUGGGACCCUUACCAGAGGCACAGGAGGACACAGAGGACAAUAAGAAUAUUUUGUCUGUGCACCCAGGAGGCAGGGCUGGCUCCUGCACCUUUUCCAGCUGCUUUACUCCAGGUUCCCUCUAGAGAAAUAAAUCCU
rnacentral:lncRNA from 1 species